rnacentral:lncRNA from 1 species
GUCUGGUGCCUGUUUUUGCAUUUCUCUGAUGUUUGCUGUAGGGAUGGAUAGUCCUCUGUGAUUCCCUAUGACAACACUCAUGAAGACAGACUGUUAAAUAUGAAUCACAGAUGCCAUGAAGAAUUCCCUGGUAUCACUAACAAAAGGGAGGUAGAGGAGUUUAGAUUCUGGAAGCAGCCUGGAAAUAUCGCACACUGCCCAUUACAUUAAUGGAAAGUAUUGAUAUGUCCAGGAGGUGAUCGGAAGACCUGAGGACAACAUAAUCAUCUUGCUGUUCUACAUGCUGCCUAUGAUUACUUAUUUUGAAAUCAUUAGCUGAAAAUAUUGACGUGUUAGGUAAUGAAUAAAGCUCACAUCAAAGAAACA